AUCGUUCAUCUCCCUAGGGAGACGCAAAAGUCUGACUGAAGGAACGGAAA
rnacentral:ncRNA from 10 species